UACAGAGGGUGCGAGCGUUGUUCGGAAUUAUUGGGCGUAAAGGGCGCGUAGGCGGUGCGGUAAGUCACCUGUGAAAUCUCCUGGCUCAACUGGGAGCUUGCAGGCGAAACUGCCGUGCUGGAGUGUGGGAGAGGUGCGUGGAAUUCCUGGUGUAGCGGUGAAAUGCGUAGAUAUCAGGAGGAACACCUGUGGCGAAAGCGGCGCACUGGACCACAACUGACGCUGAGGCGCGAAAGCUAGUGGAGCAAACAGG
rnacentral:rRNA from 1 species